rnacentral:misc_RNA from 1 species
ACGGAUGACGGCGAUUAUGCCAUCAAGCUGCGCAACCUGAUCAGUUUUCUGGAAGAGGGAGAUAAAGCCAAAAUCACGUUACGUUUCCGCGGUCGUGAAAUGGCGCAUCAGGAAUUCGGUAUACGCCUGCUGGAGCGCGUAAGGACGGAUUUGGAACCCUAUGCGGUGGUUGAGCAAUUUCCGCGGAUGGAAGGCAGGCAGAUGGUAAUGGUGCUAUCCCCGAAGAAGAAAGAGGUAAAGAUAGUCAAGCCUAAGGAAUCCAAGCCAAAAAUGGUUGGGGAGAACGGAGAAAACGGGGUUGUGGCGCAGA